rnacentral:rRNA from 1 species
AUGGUCCCAUCGUGGACCGAGGCUGGGGCACGUCUUCUGGUAGCAAGAUUUCUUAACCGAUCGAUAUCCAUCGGUAACUUGAUAUUGCUCGAAGACGGAGGCAGCAUGCUUAGAUUUGGAAAUGCUACUGGCAAACACCAUGUAAAAUUAGUCCUGCGAGUUCAUGACCCAAUGUUCUAUUGGAAGAUUGCAACAGAAUCUGACCUUGGUUUGGCAGAUGCCUACAUUAACGGCUGGUGCUCUUUUGAUGAUAAGAAAGAAGGUCUUCUGAAUCUUUUCCUGAUUUUCAUUACCAACAGAGGUGCACCCAAGAGCAGUAGCAGCAUUGUCAGGAAAAGGGGUUGGUGGACACCUAUGCUUCUUACCGCUGGGCUGGCAUCUGCUAAAUAUUUUCUGCGCCACACCUCAAGGAAGAACUCUGUAACACAAACUCGUCGAAACAUCUCACAACACUAUGAUCUGAGUAAUGAUUUCUUCUUGCUUUUUCUGGACAAAACGAUGACAUAUUCUUGUGGAAUUUUCAAGAGGGAGGACGAAUGCUUAGAAGAAUCCCAGAUACGUAAACUGAACCUUCUAAUUUACAAGGCUAAAGUUGAGAGGGAUCAUCAUGUCCUUGAGAUCGGCAGCGGCUGGGGCGGCUUAGCAAUACAAGUGGUCAAGCAAACUGGCUGCAAAUACACUGGAAUAACUUUGUCGGAGGAGCAGCUUAAAUUUGCUCACGGAAAAGUUAAGGAAGCUGGCUUAGAGGAUCAUAUAACUUUCCUGCUGUGCGACUAUCGUCAGAUACCAGCUCGCAAAUAUGACAGAAUCAUAAGCUGCGAGAUGAUCGAACAUGUUGGCCAUGAAUACUUGGACGCAUUUUUUACCUGCUGCGAGUCUCACUUGGCUCAAGAUGGCAUUUUUGUCCUACAGGCCAUCACCAUGCCGGACGAACUAGGAAUACAUUAG